AAAAUCAGACAACAUUUUCGAUUGCAAAAGAUUAGAAGAAUAUGGGUAUGUUUAACUACUCCAUUUUCGUGGCAUUAAUGUUGAUCACAAUUGUCAUUUCAACCAAUGGUGGUGUUUUGGCUGGAAGUGACUGCGACAGAUUCCAAACAGGUGGCCGGAUUAUGUAAGAAGCAUGUUAUAAAAGUUUUUGGGAUUCUUCUAUAUCCAUCUCCAUCGCAGGCUUGUUGUAACUCCAUCAAAAAUGCUGGUCAAGAUUGCUUGUGCUCGAAAAAAUUUCCGUUAUUCGUCAGCAAAAAGACUGCUCAAUCCGUUGCUAAAAAAUGUGGCAUAUCCAAAAUUCCCGCUAAUUGUGGAGGUGAGUAUUUAUAUAUAAUUAAUGCAGCUUAUUUCACAUAUAUAAAAAGUCCUUGCUUACUGGAUUUUUAUAUUAAAAACUCAUCCGUUGAUUGUUUG
rnacentral:lncRNA from 1 species